GUAUUGGUGGCUUAGAAGUUAAGCACUUGACUUGUAAUCUGCUGGUCCUGGGUUCGAAUCUCACCAUGUACC
rnacentral:tRNA from 1 species